rnacentral:ncRNA from 2 species
CGACGUCACGUCGGGAGAGACCGGCCCUCGAGGCCGGCGCCGAAGGAGCAACCGCCCCGGAAACUCUCAGGCAAAAGGACCGCGUGAUCGAC